rnacentral:rRNA from 1 species
GAUGAACGCUGGCGGUAUGCUUAACACAUGCAAGUCGAACGGACUCUUCGGAGUUAGUGGCGGACGGGUGAGUAACGCGUGAGAAUCUGGCUUUGGGUUCGGGACAACCACUGGAAACGGUGGCUAAUACCGGAUGUGCCGAGAGGUAAAAGAUAAAUUGCCUGAAGAUGAGCUCGCGUCUGAUUAGCUAGUUGGUGAGGUAAAGGCUCACCAAGGCAGCGAUCAGUAGCUGGUCUGAGAGGAGGACCAGCCACACUGGGACUGCGAAACGGCCCAGACUCCUCCGGGAGGAAGCAGUGGGGAAUUUUCCGCAAUGGGCGAAAGCCUGCCGGAGCAAUACCGCGUGAGGGAAGAAGGCUCUUGGGUUGAAAAACUCUUUUCUUAGGAAAGAACAAAAUGACGGUACCUAAGGAAUAAGCAUCGGCUAACUCCGUG